rnacentral:rRNA from 1 species
UACGUAGGGACCAAGCGUUGUUCGGAUUUACUGGGCGUAAAGGGCAUGCAGGCGGUCGGACGCGUUUCGGGUGACAGCGGGUGGCUUAACUACCCGAGUGGUCGAAAGACGGUUUGACUUGAGGACGCGAGAGGGACACGGAAUUCCGGGUGGAGUGGUGAAAUGCGUAGAGAUCCGGAGGAACACCGAAGGCGAAGGCAGUGUCCUGGCGCGUAACUGACGCUGAGGUGCGAAAGCCAGGGGAGCGAACGGG